rnacentral:rRNA from 1 species
AUUGAACGCUGGCGGCAGGCCUAACACAUGCAAGUCGAACGAGUGGCGGACGGGUGAGUAAUGUCUGGGAAACUGCCUGAUGGAGGGGGAUAACUAUUGGAAACGGUAGCUAAUACCGCAUCCCAUCGUAUGUGCCCAGAUUGGAUUAUCUAGUAGGGGGGGUAACGGCUCACCUAGGCGACGAUCCCUAGCUGGUCUGAGAGGAUGACCAGCAACGUUGAAACUAGGACACGGUCCAGACUCUUACGUGAGGCAGCAGUGGGGAAUAUUGCACAAGGGGCGCAAGCCUGAUGCAGCCAUGCCGCGUGUGUGAAGAAGGCCUUCGGGUUGUAAAGCACUAUCAGCGGGGAGGCGUUACCCGAAGAAGAAGCACCGGCUAACUCCGUGCCAGCAGCCGCGGUAAUAC